CUUAUAUAAAUAUAUAUUAUUUCAUUCGGUAAAAUAAAAUUUAUUUUAUUAAUCUUACGACGAAUUAAUUUAUGUCUUCGAAAGAUAAAUAAAAGAAAGUUUACACAUCGAUGUUCUUAUCGAUUCAAUUUUAGAUGAUAUAAAAGGAAAAGAAUGAGGAAUAGAAAGAGGAUGUUAGAGCACGGAUGAGUCGAAGAAGAGUCUGACCACAUAUAGAAGAAAAGAUAUUGGCUAUAUGCAUGAAUACAGUGUGUCUUCUUUGAGACAAGGCAAACAAUCAACGAUGACAAACAAUCAUAAAGGGAAUAAGAAUUCAAUUUUCUUCAGACUUCAGCCAGAAUUGAAGAUUUUUGAUGAAGAUGACGAAGGAUAAAGAUCAAUUAUCAUUUCAUUGGAACUUCGAAGACAAGAUGGCUUGAAAAAUAUGAUAUAAAAGGAAAAGAAUGAGGAAUAGAAAGAGGAUGUUAGAGCACGGAUGAGUCGAAGAAGAGUCUGACCACAUAUAGAAGAAAAGAUAUUGGCUAUAUGCAUGAAUACAGUGUGUCUUCUUUGAGACAAGGCAAACAAUCAACGAUGACAAACAAUCAUAAAGGGAAUAAGAAUUCAAUUUUCUUCAGACUUCAGCCAGAAUUGAAGAUUUUUGAUGAAGAUGACGAAGGAUAAAGAUCAAUUAUCAUUUCAUUGGAACUUCGAAGACAAGAUGGCUUGAAAAAUAUGAUAUAAAAGGAAAAGAAUGAGGAAUAGAAAGAGGAUGUUAGAGCACGGAUGAGUCGAAGAAGAGUCUGACCACAUAUAGAAGAAAAGAUAUUGGCUAUAUGCAUGAAUACAGUGUGUCUUCUUUGAGACAAGGCAAACAAUCAACGAUGACAAACAAUCAUAAAGGGAAUAAGAAUUCAAUUUUCUUCAGACUUCAGCCAGAAUUGAAGAUUUUUGAUGAAGAUGACGAAGGAUAAAGAUCAAUUAUCAUUUCAUUGGAACUUCGAAGACAAGAUGGCUUGAAAAAUAUAAUAUAAGUGAAGAUAAAAUUGGUGGUUCGUUAUUGUAUUAUAUUCUGUAUGUUCAAUUUGUCGAAUUGUUGAGCAUAUUCUCUUUCUGUUUUGAAAUUCGAUACAUCGAAUUAGUUACGCUAAAUUUCAUUCUACUGUUGACAUUCGUGACGAUUAGAAUUUCUUCAAGUGUGCUUUAUCUAUUUGGUUGGAAAAAAUUUUCAAUAUGGAUGUCAUGAUAUAUUUUACAUAAAGGAAAAAAAUAUAAAUAAAUAUUUAAAAUAUAAAUAAUAUAAAUAAAUAAAUAUUUUUAUUGUAAAAAAUGAUGAUAUAAAAGGAAAAGAAUGAGGAAUAGAAAGAGGAUGUUAGAGCACGGAUGAGUCGAAGAAGAGUCUGACCACAUAUAGAAGAAAAGAUAUUGGCUAUAUGCAUGAAUACAGUGUGUCUUCUUUGAGACAAGGCAAACAAUCAACGAUGACAAACAAUCAUAAAGGGAAUAAGAAUUCAAUUUUCUUCAGACUUCAGCCAGAAUUGAAGAUUUUUGAUGAAGAUGACGAAGGAUAAAGAUCAAUUAUCAUUUCAUUGGAACUUCGAAGACAAGAUGGCUUGAAAAAUAUGAUAUAAAAGGAAAAGAAUGAGGAAUAGAAAGAGGAUGUUAGAGCACGGAUGAGUCGAAGAAGAGUCUGACCACAUAUAGAAGAAAAGAUAUUGGCUAUAUGCAUGAAUACAGUGUGUCUUCUUUGAGACAAGGCAAACAAUCAACGAUGACAAACAAUCAUAAAGGGAAUAAGAAUUCAAUUUUCUUCAGACUUCAGCCAGAAUUGAAGAUUUUUGAUGAAGAUGACGAAGGAUAAAGAUCAAUUAUCAUUUCAUUGGAACUUCGAAGACAAGAUGGCUUGAAAAAUAUAAUAUAAGUGAAGAUGUAAUCCAUUUUUCACAAAUAUGAUGAGAUUUAUUUUAAAGAAAUAUAAUUAUAAAUUUCUUUUUAUUGACAUAAAAUUGUUAGAUUACAAUCAAUAUAAUAUUUCACGUAUCUUCGUAUAUAUAUAUUUUACGUAUAUGUAUAUUUUGUGUAUACAUAUAUAAAUUUUACGUAUAUAUAUAUUUUAUAUAUAUAUAUAUUUUACGUGUACAUAUAUAUUUUAAAUAUAUAUAUAUAUCUAUAUAUAUGUUUUCAUAAAAUUGGUGGUUCGUUAUUGUAUUAUAUUCUGUAUGUUCAAUUUGUCGAAUUGUUGAGCAUAUUCUCUUUCUGUUUUGAAAUUCGAUACAUCGAAUUAGUUACGCUAAAUUUCAUUCUACUGUUGACAUUCGUGACGAUUAGAAUUUCUUCAAGUGUGCUUUAUCUAUUUGGUUGGAAAAAAUUUUCAAUAUGGAUGUCAUGAUAUAUUUUACAUAAAGGAAAAAAAUAUAAAUAAAUAUUUAAAAUAUAAAUAAUAUAAAUAAAUAAAUAUUUUUAUUGUAAAAAAUGAUGAUAUAAAAGGAAAAGAAUGAGGAAUAGAAAGAGGAUGUUAGAGCACGGAUGAGUCGAAGAAGAGUCUGACCACAUAUAGAAGAAAAGAUAUUGGCUAUAUGCAUGAAUACAGUGUGUCUUCUUUGAGACAAGGCAAACAAUCAACGAUGACAAACAAUCAUAAAGGGAAUAAGAAUUCAAUUUUCUUCAGACUUCAGCCAGAAUUGAAGAUUUUUGAUGAAGAUGACGAAGGAUAAAGAUCAAUUAUCAUUUCAUUGGAACUUCGAAGACAAGAUGGCUUGAAAAAUAAAAUUGGUGGUUCGUUAUUGUAUUAUAUUCUGUAUGUUCAAUUUGUCGAAUUGUUGAGCAUAUUCUCUUUCUGUUUUGAAAUUCGAUACAUCGAAUUAGUUACGCUAAAUUUCAUUCUACUGUUGACAUUCGUGACGAUUAGAAUUUCUUCAAGUGUGCUUUAUCUAUUUGGUUGGAAAAAAUUUUCAAUAUGGAUGUCAUGAUAUAUUUUACAUAAAGGAAAAAAAUUUAAAUAAAUAUUUAAAAUAUAAAUAAUAUAAAUAAAUAAAUAUUUUUAUUGUAAAAAAUGAUGAUAUAAAAGGAAAAGAAUGAGGAAUAGAAAGAGGAUGUUAGAGCACGGAUGAGUCGAAGAAGAGUCUGACCACAUAUAGAAGAAAAGAUAUUGGCUAUAUGCAUGAAUACAGUGUGUCUUCUUUGAGACAAGGCAAACAAUCAACGAUGACAAACAAUCAUAAAGGGAAUAAGAAUUCAAUUUUCUUCAGACUUCAGCCAGAAUUGAAGAUUUUUGAUGAAGAUGACGAAGGAUAAAGAUCAAUUAUCAUUUCAUUGGAACUUCGAAGACAAGAUGGCUUGAAAAAUAAAAUUGGUGGUUCGUUAUUGUAUUAUAUUCUGUAUGUUCAAUUUGUCGAAUUGUUGAGCAUAUUCUCUUUCUGUUUUGAAAUUCGAUACAUCGAAUUAGUUACGCUAAAUUUCAUUCUACUGUUGACAUUCGUGACGAUUAGAAUUUCUUCAAGUGUGCUUUAUCUAUUUGGUUGGAAAAAAUUUUCAAUAUGGAUGUCAUGAUAUAUUUUACAUAAAGGAAAAAAAUAUAAAUAAAUAUUUAAAAUAUAAAUAAUAUAAAUAAAUAAAUAUUUUUAUUGUAAAAAAUGAUGAUAUAAAAGGAAAAGAAUGAGGAAUAGAAAGAGGAUGUUAGAGCACGGAUGAGUCGAAGAAGAGUCUGACCACAUAUAGAAGAAAAGAUAUUGGCUAUAUGCAUGAAUACAGUGUGUCUUCUUUGAGACAAGGCAAACAAUCAACGAUGACAAACAAUCAUAAAGGGAAUAAGAAUUCAAUUUUCUUCAGACUUCAGCCAGAAUUGAAGAUUUUUGAUGAAGAUGACGAAGGAUAAAGAUCAAUUAUCAUUUCAUUGGAACUUCGAAGACAAGAUGGCUUGAAAAAUAUAAUAUAAGUGAAGAUGUAAUCCAUUUUUCACAAAUAUGAUGAGAUUUAUUUUAAAGAAAUAUAAUUAUAAAUUUCUUUUUAUUGACAUAAAAUUGUUAGAUUACAAUCAAUAUAAUAUUUCACGUAUCUUCGUAUAUAUAUAUUUUACGUAUAUGUAUAUUUUGUGUAUACAUAUAUAAAUUUUACGUAUAUAUAUAUUUUAUAUAUAUAUAUAUUUUACGUGUACAUAUAUAUUUUAAAUAUAUAUAUAUAUCUAUAUAUAUGUUUUCAUAAAAUUGGUGGUUCGUUAUUGUAUUAUAUUCUGUAUGUUCAAUUUGUCGAAUUGUUGAGCAUAUUCUCUUUCUGUUUUGAAAUUCGAUACAUCGAAUUAGUUACGCUAAAUUUCAUUCUACUGUUGACAUUCGUGACGAUUAGAAUUUCUUCAAGUGUGCUUUAUCUAUUUGGUUGGAAAAAAUUUUCAAUAUGGAUGUCAUGAUAUAUUUUACAUAAAGGAAAAAAAAUAAAUAAAUAUUU